CAACUACAGGCUAGUGGCAUGGAUACCUUGAUUUUUACAUUUACAAAACACAGCAAAGGCAGGAGUAUUGUAGACUGCAAAGUUACAGGAGAACAUGCACAAAAAAUGUUUUGCAGUCCUGUUGGACAAUCGUUUGCAAACCUAUGGAAAGGAAAAGAAGAAGCUGUUGAAGAAAGCAAGGAGGAAAUAGGAGGCAUAGCCACUGUGCCAAGCAUAGUUGAUGCAGAAUCUAUUGAAGGACAAAGCCCAACACAAAGUCAAGUAGAUGCAACAAUGUUGCAAACUGUAGGCAGCACAAUACCAAAGAACAAUGUUUCUAUUCAUCAACCUACAGUCAAUGUUGGGUAAAAUCCAGCACCAUUUCCAAAGCAAACCACUACAAAACGUCAACUAGAAUCAACUACUAUUCCCAAAGAUGAUAUCACCCAUUGUGCGGUGCCAAAUAAAUCUUUAAGAUUUUACACUGCUAGGCCUAAUAAGGACCCAAUAAUAAAACCAGCACAGAUGCCAGCAGUAGUUGUUAACAACACUCGUAAUUCUUCGCCGCAUCUUCUCCUGAAAGACAAAAUUAAAGCUAGAAUUCAGUUUAAGAUUCACCUGUCCGAUGCAAGUCAAGUUAUCAAUGUUGAGAUUUUUUCUACCUGGACUGGCUCACAAGAGGAGCUCUGCGUUAAAGUGAAAUCUAUGUGGGAGAAAAAGAAUGAGAAACAUGCCUUGAGAGCAACAAUUGUCCCUACAGAAAUCCAUUCAACUGUGAAUUCCAUCCAAAAUGAUAAAUUUUAUUCUGUAGGGGAUUGGGAAGACUACUUUUUAACUUUUACGUUUGGUAACAUAGAAUUGUUAUGUAUUUGAAUUGUUUCUUCCACCUUUGUAAGAAAACCUGUAUAUUUUUCAUUCAAGAAAUAAAAACACUGCCUUUAA